CUGCCGCUCUCCUGGGCGUCUCCAGCGCUUGGUCUUCAGGGCACCGCUUCCCUCGGCCUCUCCAGUUUCUCCGUCUCAUCCCAUCCCAGGCGACCCGCAGAGGUGAAAGCAGGGAUUGAGAAUUUAGAUGCCCUUGGUGGCAGCAUCAGGAGAGAUACAAGGACAAUGGUUUGCAUUACCCAGAAGCAUCUACAAGACGUGAUGAGUGUGUGGUGUUGCACGCCUGUUAUCCCAGUACCCGGGAGGCUGAGGCAGGAGGAGUGAAUUCCAGGGGCCGAGGCCCUGGAGGACGACGCUAGUUGACCGCCACAGCCGCGGAACGCAGGGCCCAGGAGGGUCAGCGCAUGCGCACCCACAUCACUUCCGGCCUCACGCAGGGCGCCAGCGCAUGCUCACGACGGCCGCGGGGUUUCCCCGAGGGCCGGCGCGGUUCCAAAGCGACUCUUGGCGUCCGGGGCUGG